UUUUUACUAUUUUUACAAAUUAUCGGUAUCAAAACGAUUCAACUUUGAGUAUCUUUUUUCUUCUUGCUUUUGCUAGUACUUUUGUUGUUAUUUAUUUACGAAACAUAUUUCCUUUAAUGGUUUUAAAUCUUGGACUAAUAAUAAUAAGUUUAAUAGAUUUAAGGUUCCUGAGUAGUCAGCAUGCGAUUUUCAAAAUCAGUCGGCGGCCUGGCGAAAUGUGGCGAAAUCGUCACACACACAACACAAGCCCAUGUACAUGUACAUGUGCUCUCGGCGCGCCGAAACAUGUGUGUAUGUACAUGGGCUCGUGCUUGUGUGUGUGUUACAGCGCUUCGCCACGAUAAAUGGCUGAACUUAUAGGCGUGAAAAAGUGAUGUUUUAACAACGAAAUUUGUGCUGCACGUCAUUUCGUUAUUGUUUGCUUAAUUGUGAAAAUGUGAAACGUAUCUCGUAUGACUUAUGAAAGUUCUAAAAAUGGGCAGAAACUAUAGUUAUCCUGGAGUUUGAUACGUAAAAGCGUAUAUUUCAUUUAUUUCAACAGCUAUUCAAACCGUGUGUCUCUGCCCGAAAUUAAGCUCACUUUACUUUCCUUUUACGACCAUUUACCGACUAUUAAGGGAGAAAAGGACAGUUUCUGCCCAUUUCUACAGGUAUUUUAAAGCAAUCUCGUCAUUUAGAUUUAUCCAAAUUGUCUUUAUUUACAAAUGGCUUGCAGCAUAAAUUUACGUGUUAUUCCUCGCUUCUGACGUCACAAUUCCAACGGCGACCGCCACAACUCCUCAGGAGCCUUAAUCUUCAUCAUGAUUUAUGUUUUAGUAUACAUGCGAAGUGUAGUAUUCGAGUAUCGCGACUGCGAAAAUUUGCUGGCGUAAUGAAUAGUCGGAGUACUGUUUACACACGUAAGAGGCUUUAAAAAAACUGACUGUCGGUGGCUGGUGGGGUAGAUAGAUUGCUCGCUCGAUGGCGAAAGCGUCAUGCGACAUUACGACGUUUCUCGCUGCGAGCUUCGUUUCAUGCAGGAUUAUCUAUGCGUGGAUCCUCGCUCUUGCCCCCCGUGCCAUCUCGAUCUCUCGCUCGAUCCCUUCUCCGCUACCACGGUUCCUCCCUUCGUCUGGCCGCAAGUUAAUGUCGUUAUCGAGCGUCAAACGAUUUGAGAUGCUUUGUAUUUUGAUCGCGCAUACAUCCAAUAAUACGCACGUUGAGUCGCAAAGGUUCCCUAAUAUUUCUUAUUUUCCUACAACUUUGAGAUAUUUUUGCAUCCUUUGCAAGAGUUUUAUGCCAUAAACUAGCUAUAGCUAAGCCAUAACAAUUUUUAAUGUCCUGAAUUUUUUAAUACAAAAUUCGCAGAGAAUAAUUUACAGGAUCCUCGGGAAAGUCUUACGCGUGUCAACGUGCAAUUUCUGCAUUUAACAGUGAAAAGAGGCGUAUCUUUGAAUUUAUAGAAAAAAAUCAAUAUGUUUUCCGUACAUGGAGAAACAAAGAAAGGAAAAUUUUAUACCGGUGAGUGUCUCUUCUUCAUUGUUUCUACCAAUGUUUAAUCUUUAUUCAAUAUUCGCUUCAAUAUUCGACGUGUGAUGUCGUCAACAGUGGGCUCUUUCAAUUCACUGAAUGACGGGCUGUCAGUUAGCCGAGAUCGGUAAUGCAAAGCGCAAUUGAAAUACGACGAAGGCGUUCACUUGCGACCUGACCCAGUCGCAUCGGAGGACAUAUUUAUUCGAUCGACCGUUUAAAGUUACAUUUGUAUGGCUAAUAGAGAUUCGCGAAUCGUUCCACAUGUCAACAAGAAAUACAUCUAGUUUGGCUGUACCAAAAGAGGAGAAAUGUCGAUGACAAAAUACACGUAUACGUUAUACAUUUAACUGA